rnacentral:rRNA from 1 species
GUGCCAGCCGCCGCGGUAAUACGUAGGUGGCAAGCGUUGUCCGGAAUUAUUGGGCGUAAAGAGCAUGUAGGUGGAUACUUAAGUCUGUUGUGAAAAUGCGGGGCUCAACCCCGUAUUGCGAUGGAAACUGGGUGUCUUGAGUGCAGGAGAGGAAAGGGGAAUUCCCAGUGUAGCGGUGAAAUGCGUAGAUAUUGGGAGGAACACCAGUGGCGAAGGCGCCUUUCUGGACUGUGUCUGACACUGAGAUGCGAAAGCUAGGGGAGCGAACGGGAUUAGAUACCCCGGUAGUCCUAGCCGUAAACGAUGGGUACUAGGUGUAGGGGGUAUCGACCCCCCCUGUGCCGGAGUUAACGCAAUAAGUACCCCGCCUGGGGAGUACGGCCGCAAGGUUGAAACUCAAAUAAAUUGACGG